rnacentral:lncRNA from 1 species
AGAAUUAGAGACAGAUAGAACCAUUAUGUGGUCAAGACUACCUGGAAUUCCAAGUAAAAUGAAAUGGCCUGUCCUUGUAUACCAUGAUAGUGUGCACAAGAACAUGAUUGAUGUAUUUUGUAAAGCUGAUGAUGCAGUGUAAGCAAAUAAUUUUAUUACAAAUUAUGUUAACUCGUAAGGUUUUUAUAUGACCCCUUAGUCAGGCAGUGGCUGCUCUCUAUGUUUUGUAUCUGUUACUGUUUUCAAUAUUAAACAGGCCAACAGUGUUCUCCCCAGGGCCUUUUGCAUCAUGGUAAUGUGAUGCUAUAUUUCUUGAAUGUGAUGCUAUCUGAAUUGGUUUUCUUAUAGAUUAUGUUAUGGAUGUGAUGCUAUAUUUUUUAGAAACAAGAUGGUACUAUAUUUCAAAUGUCCCUGUUUACAAGGAUGCUAAAUGAAAUAUCUGGGGAGAACACUGCCCGAAAAAUGUCAUAUUGUGGGGCAUUGCAAAUUUUUAUCGUUCUGAUUUUGAUUCGAUUUUUAUCAUUUGAUUCCUCUCACAGUCUUGCGAAAUUCCAGAAACCUGUAUCUGACAUUCGGUCAGACAAACUGACAUCUUCUGUCUGACUUCUAGUUUGGAUGAUGCAUGUUUAAGUUUGCUUCAGUCAGCAUAAAGAGCAGGUAUAUUUUACCAAGCAUAUUGUACCAAAUUGAUCAUAAACUAUAGCAUAUAGCAUAAUAUAUAUACAUGUAGGUUUACAGUGAAGAUGGUUAAUCUUGAGCCAUUCUUGAGAUCUUUGAGAAGUUCUUGGGAGCAGAUUGGAAUGAGUAUUUAUGCUUUUAUAACAUUUUGAUCAAAGUUAACUUUUAGCAUGUUUUACUUGAGAGAAACAGAGGAAACAGUUGUGAAUACUUCAAAUCAUUUGAUCAAAGAAUGCAAACAAUACAUAUAUAUGUUUACAGCAUUUAAAUUGUAUUGAAUGAUUCUUUUUAAUUCAUAUUGAAUGGAAAGAUUGAUGAAAAAGAACUUUUCUUACUGAAAAAAAAAAGAUCAAGGAAAGUUAAAUACUAAACAUUUUUUAUGUAACUAUUCAACUAUGGCUUUUGAUUUGAUCAUUUGGUUAAGUACAAGUAACUGUUUCAAUCUUUAAACUGGACAUGGCUGAAGACUUAGUUUUACAUAAUACUAGACAACAUUCAAUUUUAUCCAUGUACUGUACUUUCAUGUCUUUGGACUCUACUAAGUUCAUGAAUGAUUUGUGGCAAAGUUUACAUGACGACUAACUCUUCAAAAUAAAUGAAUUUACUAACAGGUCUUCAGCCAUGAAAGUGAUUAAGAUGUUGGUCAUUUUUACAAUUGAAUUAAUUUGUAAGUUAAUAAUUGAAAAUAUUCUACGAGUGACCGAACAACAAAAUAAUUCAGCAGUGCUCAUAAGAGUUAUUAUUGUUGUUCCGUCACAAGUGGUAUAUUUUCAAAAAUCAAAUUAAAUUGUUAAUUAUGUUUUUAUAAAUAGAUCACAAAACAUGAUUAAAAAAUGUCUUAUUCCAGUAGUAUUCAUGAUAAAUAACAUCAAACAUGAGCGUAUGAUUAUAAAAAAAACCAAAUAUGACUGCAUCCAAUUUAAGUACCUUAUUGCGGCAAAUUUUUGUGAGGUUCAUAGUUUUGCCCUUUUUAUGAGGUUUUACGUAAAUGUGUAAAAAUAAAUUGCUUAAUUCUCUUACAUGCCAACUAUUUCGAUUUUUCCAUAAUAUUUUAUGAAUUUUGGGUCAAUUUACGGUUAUAAUGUUGUAAAAAUUUGAAACUGCAAAAAUUACCCAAUGCACUAUAAAGUAUAUUGCAUUUCACAUUCUUAUAAUCGAUAAUUCUGAAAAGUUAAAAGGGCAAAACUGAGAAUAAAUUUGGUACAUUUUGCAAAAAUAUGCUGAGAAAAGACAUAAAAAGUUUCAUGAGUGAAUAAUCAACCGAUAAGUGAUGAUAUCAGAUUCAUCUGAGAAAUUUCAGUAUUUCUUUGUCAUCUAUAUAAUAAUAUAUAUUUGUUUCAAUAUGUUCAUUGCAUGACUGUUAUCACUUAUUUCAGUGUAUUAUCCAGAAAGGGUUUGUCUGUUUUUAGUCCCCUAACGGCGAAGCCAAAGGGGACUAGGUUUGCACUUUGUCAGUCUGUCUGUCGGUCCCCACAAAUCAGUUUUUCCCCACUUUUUUUUAUUGUGCUUGAAGAUAUUGAUUUGAUAUUUUGUAUAAUGUUUCAUUUUGACCAGUUACAGAUCAAGUUCAAAUUUUGUUCCGAUCUGAUGAUUUUAGUGUCUCGCCUGCGACAAAAUUUAAGUCGCAUAGUUAGACAUAAGUAUUACUAUCCGGCGGUGGCGUAAACUAUUUGUAUAAAGCUUUAUAUUUCAGAAGGUAGAAGACUAGCUUGGAUGCUUCAUACCUUGUAUGCAGAUACCUUAUGUCAUGAACUUUCCGUCUGUCGUAUGACCAUUGUCCUUGACUUAUUUUCAUGGUUCAGUGACUGCUUGAAAAAAAGUUUAGUUUUUUUGUUAUGGGAAUUUCUCACUUAUAAUAAGUAAUGGGAUAACUAUAUUUGGUAUAUGGGUUCAUUUCAAGGUCUACAUGUCCAUCAGACAAGAUUCACCUGACCUCGACCUCAUUUCUUGGAUAAGUGAUCAAGGUUAAAGUUACGUGAAUAGGUCCGUUUGUCAGAUACUGAAAGCAGUAUGUCAAAUAUAUUUGGUGUAUGGAAUGAUUGUAAGGUGAACAUGUUUGUCUGGCAGGUGUCAUUUGUCCUUGACCUCAUUUUCAUGGUUCAUUGGUCAAUGGUAAGUUUUUGUGUUUUGAUCUGUUUUUCUAAAACUAUAAGCAAUAGGUCAACUAUAUUUGGUGUAUGGAAUGAUUGCAAGGUGUAAUGUCUGUCUGGCAGGUGUCAUAUGUCCUAUCUCAUUUUCGUCGUUCAUUGGUCAAUGUUAAGUUUUAUGUUUUUGUCUGUUAUUCUAAUACUAUAAUCAAUAGGUCCACUAUAUUUGGUGUAUGGAAUGAUUGUAAGGUGUACAUGUCUGUCUGGCAGGUGUCAUUUGUCCAUGACCUCAUGUUCAUGGUUCAUGGUCAAUGUAAAGUUUUUGUGUUUUGGUCUGUUUUUCUAAGUUACUAUAAGCAAUAGGUCCACUAUAUUUGGUGUAUGGAAUGAUUGUAAGGUGUACAUGUGUGUCUGGCAUGGUUUAUCUGACCAGGACCUCAUUUUCAUGGAUCAUUGAUAAUUUUAAGUUUAUGUGAUACUUGUAGUAAAACUUUUAUCAUUAGGACUAUCAACAUAAAAUUAAUCAAGGUUAGGAAAGCAGGCGAGACAUUUCAGCGUGUGGACUCUUGUGCAGAGUUGUGGUCCUUCGACUUAGAAAAUUCACGUAAAUAACUAGUUAUCUGCACUUUUUUCGUCAUGCUUGAAGAUAUUAAUUUGAUAUUUGGUAUAUAGUUUUAAUAUGACCAGUUACAGAUCUAUUUUGAAUUCUGUAUAAUACAUAGUAGAUAUUCUGCUAAGUAUCCUGAAUAUAUGGGAUCAAAGACCUAAAAAAAGUACCAUUUUCAUCGUUAUAUUAUUUCACUUUGAAAAAAAACCCAUUAUAUUCACGGUAGUUUAUUUAUGAACUGUGACACUUUAGCAGUCAAAAAUAUAUAUGCAAAUAUAUAAAAAAGAAGAUUUGUGUUAAUGCCAAUGAACAACCUAAACAAGAGACAGAAAUGACACAGAAAUUAACAACUAUAGGUCACCGUACGGCCUUCAACAAUGAGCAAAGCCCAUACCGCAUAGUCAGCUAUAAAAGGCCCCGAAAUAACAAAUGUAAAACAAUUCAAACGAGAAAAGUAACGGCUAAAUAAAUGUACAAAUAAAUGAACGAAACACAUAUGUACACAAACGACAACCACUGAACAGGCUCCUGACUUGGGACAUAUGUAAAUAAUGUGCGGGGUUAAACCAGUUUAGCGCGAUCCCAUUCCUCCCCCUACUUGGACAGUGGUGUAACAGUACAACAUAUAGGAACGAACUAUAAAAAUCAGUUUGAAAAAGCUUAACUCAUCAGAUGGAUAGAAACAUCUAACAAAAACGAGUGGCUUCAGCACUUAUACAUCCCAACAACAAAAAGACUAUUAGUACCGAUUUGAGAUUACUCGCAGUUACUGACAGCUAGUUCAAAGCCAAAAACAACUAAUAAAAAAAAUCAUGCAUCUAAAACUAAUAUGCAGAUGUAUGUUGUGAUACUUGACAAGCAUUCUGGUCUUUAGCCUCAAUUGGAGCAAAAAAAUGACUAUUUUAUGAAGAAAAUAGAAAAUGUCGUGUUUGUUAUAUUGUUAUAUAAUGAGAUUUGACUGUUUAUAAAAGAUGUCUGAUUUUUGAAUUCAAGGACCUAUACAGGCAUGACUUUUUGUCGAGCCUUCGACUUUAGUCGAAAAAGCGAGACUAAGCGAUCCUACAUUCUGGCGGCGGCGUCAACAAAUAUUCACUCUGUGGUUAAAGGUUUUGAAAAUUUUAUAACUUUCUAAACUAUCCUGGAUUUCUACCAAACUUGGACAGAAGCUUUCUUUUGAUCAUAAUAGUAUCCAGAAAAGUAAAAAAUAAAUAUUCCAGUUUUUCCGAAUUUUUACUUAAAAUGGACUUUUUUUCUACUUGGGAAACAACACAUCACUCUGUGGUAAAGUUUAGAAUUUUAAUAACUUUCUUAAACUAUCCUGGGUUUGUACCAAACUUGGACAAAAGCUUGUUUAUGAUCAUAAGAUAGUAUCCAGAAGUAAAUUUUGUAAAAAAAAUAAAUCCAUUCUAUUUGUCUUUUAGUUUCCAAGCACAGCUCCUAAUAUAACAAUAAGGAGAUGUGGUUAAUUGUCAAUAAAACAACUAUCCAUCAAAAUUCAAAAGAAGUAGAUGUACAAGCAAUUAUAGGCAACCAAAAACUCUUCAUCCAUGAGAAAACCAUGUUUUGUUUAGGGCCUUUCCAGAAUUGUGUUGGGGAAGGAAGGCACCUGUAUUAAAAUUUGAUGGGUGGUGGGUAUUUAAAAAAGAUUACUUGAACAUUUAAAUGAAAUAUCCAAUUUGAAAUGCAUGCAUGGUGGGGUCAAAUAGUCCAGUAGUCAGCACUAUGUGCUGUCAGACAUGAAUUAUCAUUUAUAUUAUUAUAUUUAUAAAUUUACUGUUUACAAAAUUUUGAAUUUUUGAAAUACUAAGGCUUUUGGUAGAAUUUAAUUAAACCUUAAACAUUGUCAAAAAAGGCUGUUCACCAAAAUGUUAAAAACUGAAAGUAUCAAUUUAAUAAUUGUCAUUUGUUUUGCAUGCUCUUUACAUUGUGAAGGUUAUUUGUAUUGCAAUUUCUAAGUCACAUUUAACAUGUUUAAGAGUUUUUUUUCAAAAAUUUGCUGCUGCAAGGUAAUAGAGUCUACAGUUAUUUGCUUAGAGUCAGAAUAAUGUAUUCAAAUGGGAUAACAGGCCUUAUGCAUCAAAACAUCAGUGCUUUUCCUUCUUAUUCUGUUUGAAAAACCGAGUAUGUAAAACUUUAAAAAAAAAAGAUUUUGCUCGCUCCUGUUGCAGACCACUCACCUGUCAAAAACUCAUUUUCAAGAAUUUUUUUAAAACAAAAAAAAUUAGCUCGCUUGCCCCAUUUUUUUUUUUAGAGCAAGUGUUCAAAGAACUAUUUAUCAAAUUGGUGUGGCCUAAUCAUCACUUUUCAUACUACAUUUUAAUUUUUAUACACCCGUCUUGAAAUUAUGGUAUAUCUCUGUCCAUCGUCAACAUGUUGCACAAUAACUCGAAAGUGCUUUCACUAGUUUCUGUGAAACUUGUUUAUAUCUAUUGACGUGCUAAUAUAAACUUCUAAUACAGACAAUGUUGCAAAAUAAUGUCUGAACGUAAUAUUUGAAUAUUUGUAUCAAAAGGGAAAUUUGCAAUUGACAUAUAAUUGAGCCUUGAUUCUAUAAGUAUAUUUGUGAGGAAUAUCUCUAAAUUGGAAAAAUAAAAUAAAAUAAAAAUACCAAGCACUUGAAAUGAGUUCAUGUACAAAAUCCAUGUGUGAUCCCAUUUAGUUUCACUUUGCAUAUUUCUUUUUUUAUUUACAGAAUGCUUGUCAAAAAAAGAAAAAACCCUCAAAUAUUGUUGAGGGGGGAUAGGACCUUUAUCGGGACUCCGGGAUCGGGUGUUUUUAAGCUCGGGAUUUCGGAAUUUACCCCUUCGGGAUCAAGGAAUUCUUUUUUUCAAAUUUCGGGAUCCGGGAUUUAUUUUUUUUUAAAUUCGGGACCUCGGGAUAUCGUGUUUUUAAGCCCGGGAUUUCGGGAUCAAGACCCCUCCUACCCCCC